ACGGAAGGCAGCAGUGGGGGAUAUUGCACAAUGGGGGAAACCCUGAUGCAGCGACGCCGCGUGAGUGAUGAAGGAUUUCGGUAUGUAAAGCUCUAUCAGCAGGAAAGAUAAUGACGGUACCUGACUAAGAAGCACCGGCUAAAUACGUGCCAGCAGCCGCGGUAAUACGUAUGGUGCAAGCGUUAUCCGGAUUUACUGGGUGUAAAGGGUGCGUAGACGGCUGUGCAAGUCAGAAGUGAAAUCCCGGGGCUUAACCCCGGUGCUGCUUUUGAAACUGUACGGCUAGAGUGCUGGAGGGGCAAGCGGAAUUCCUGGUGUAGCGGUGAAAUGCGUAGAUAUCAGGAGGAACACCGGUGGCGAAGGCGGCUUGCUGGACAGUAACUGACGUUGAGGCACGAAAGCGUGGGGAGCAAACAGGAUUAGAUACCCUGGUA
rnacentral:rRNA from 1 species